rnacentral:rRNA from 1 species
UACGUAGGGUGCGAGCGUUAAUCGGAAUUACUGGGCGUAAAGCGUGCGCAGGCGGUUUUGUAAGCCAGAUGUGAAAGCCCCGGGCUUAACCUGGGAAUGGCAUUUGGGACUGCAAGGCUUGAGUGCGGCAGAGGAGACUGGAAUUCCUGGUGUAGCAGUGAAAUGCGUAGAUAUCAGGAGGAAUACCGAUGGCGAGGGCAGGUCUCUGGGCUGACACUGACGCUCAUGCACGAAGGCGUGGGGAGCAAACAGG